CCCCAGACUAGCAAAGCACUGAGGGAACCAGAGAUUGUGUUGGUACUAUUUUAACUGGACCCUUGCUCCCAGCAUGGCUUCAGUCACGUUGGGUAGAAGUUUCUCAUCACCCCAGGCUGCUGAGUAGCUGUUAGCAUUGGAUUUGGCCACUGUGGGACCUGUGCACCUGCCCAGCAAGGAUACCUACGCAGAGCCAGCCCGUGCUUCUGUCUGCACCAUCCUCACAUUGGUCUUCCACAGGAGGAAGAAGCUCAGACACCUGCAGUGAAGGCAGGAAGGUGGCGGGCAGGGAAGUCUUGGGCUUGUAGUCCGGCUUGGGUGUGAGCCUACAACAGAGGUAAACUAAACCAAGGAGAACACCUGACUUCUUCAAACAUUUCUUUUCUUUUCUUUUUUUUUUUUAAAUCAUGAAAGGGGAAAACUGGGCCAGAGGGAAAAGAUGGGACUGAAUGAUUCAUGCAGUGAGUCAGUGGCAGAGGGAGGAAGCCAAGUCACAUCCUUCUGGGGAAGAUGGCUCUCCCUCACGUGCUCUCCUGACCCCUGUACCCCUCUCCUGCCACCAGGGAGAAAGCUGCUGAGUCCUGGGCCAAGGGAGGAGCAGCACCAUCCCUCCGGACACCCACGCUUACCACAGGAGGUUGGUGCGGAAGAGCUGAGCCUCCCAGUCGGUGGCGUUGACCUCUAG
rnacentral:lncRNA from 1 species